rnacentral:tRNA from 1 species
GAGGGUAUGGCUGAAGUGGUACAACAUAUGCUUAGCAUGCACAAGGUCCUGGGUUCAAUCCCCAGUGCCUCCU